CACACGCUCCUUAGAUCCACCUCUGGAGGGCGCUGUUCUCCGAGCAGAGCUCCUCAGCAGCUUCCUGCUGUACUGUCGGAGGUGCUUGAGUCAUUGGCGUGUUAGAUCAGUCCACCUGUCCUCCAGCCCACCUGCAGCACUGACCAGCCUGCGUUCUAAACACAGGAAGCUCUCACUGUUGUCACGCUGGGGGACGGACACG
ensembl:snoRNA